rnacentral:rRNA from 1 species
AAUUUUGGACAAUGGGGGCAACCCUGAUCCAGCCAUUUCGCGUGUGUGAUGAAGGCCUUCGGGUUGUAAAGCACUUUUUGCAGGAAAGAAAUCUCGCGGGCUAUUAGCCUGCGUGGAUUACGGUACCUGCAGAAUAAUCACCGGCUAACUUGGUGGCAGCAGCCGCGGUAAUUCGUAGGGUGCAAGCGUUAAUCGGAAUUACUGGGCGUAAAGGGUGCGCAGGCGGUUCGGAAAGAAGGAUGUGAAAUCCCAGGGCUCCACCUUGGAAUGGCAUUCUUAACUACCGGGCUAGAGUGUGUCAGAGGGGGGUGGAAUUCCGCGUGUAGCAGUGAAAUGCGUAGAGAUGCGGAGGAACACCGAUGGCGAAGGCAGCCCCCUGGGAUAACACUGACGCUCAGGCACGAAAGCGUGGGUAGCAAACA